GCGUAAAGGGCACGCAGGCGGUGACUUAAGUGAGGUGUGAAAGCCCCGGGCUUAACCUGGGAAUUGCAUUUCAUACUGGGUCGCUAGAGUACUUUAGGGAGGGGUAGAAUUCCACGUGUAGCGGUGAAAUGCGUAGAGAUGUGGAGGAAUACCGAAGGCGAAGGCAGCCCCUUGGGAAUGUACUGACGCUCAUGUGCGAAAGCGUGGGGAGCAAACAGGAUUAGAUACCCUGGUAGUCCACGCUGUAAACGAUGUCGAUUUGGGGGUUGAGCUUUAAGCUUGGCGCCCGUAGCUAACGUGAUAAAUCGACCGCCUGGGGAGUACGGCCGCAAGGUUAAAACUCAAAUGAAUUGACGGGGGCCCGCACAAGCGGUGGAGCAUGUGGUUUAAUUCGAUGCAACGCGAAGAACCUUACCUACUCUUGACAUCCAGAGAACAUUCCAGAGAUGGAUUGGUGCCUUCGGGAACUCUGAGACAGGUGCUGCAUGGCUGUCGUCAGCUCGUGUCGUGAG
rnacentral:rRNA from 1 species